rnacentral:rRNA from 1 species
UAGGGAAUCUUCGGCAAUGGGGGGAACCCUGACUGAGCAACGCCGCGUGAGUGAAGAAGGUUUUCGGAUCGUAAAGCUCUGUUGUUAAGGAAGAACGAGUGUGAGAAUGGAAAGUUCAUGCUGUGACGGUACUUAACCAGAAAGGGACGGCUAACUACGUGCCAGCAGCCGCGGUAAUACGUAGGUCCCGAGCGUUGUCCGGAUUUAUUGGGCGUAAAGCGAGCGCAGGCGGUUAGAAAAGUCUGAAGUGAAAGGCAGUGGCUCAACCAUUGUAGGCUUUGGAAACUGUUUAACUUGAGUGCAGAAGGGGAGGGUGGAAUUCCAUGUGUAGCGGUGAAAUGCGGAGAUAUAUGGAGGAACACCGGUGGCGAAAGCGGCUCUCUGGUCUGUAACUGACGCUGAGGCUCGAAAGCGUGGGGAGCGAACAGG